CCUACGGGUGGCAGCAGUGAGGAAUAUUGGUCAAUGGGCGAGAGCCUGAACCAGCCAAGUCGCGUGAGGGAGUACUGCCCUAUGGGUUGUAAACCUCUUUUGUCGGGGAACAAAAGCCGGACGUGUCCGGCUGUGAGAGUACCCGAAGAAAAAGCAUCGGCUAACUCCGUGCCAGCAGCCCCGGUAAUACGGGGGAUGCGAGCGUUAUCCGGAUUUAUUGGGUUUAAGGGGUGCGCAGGCGGAUUUUUAAGUACGCGGUAAAAUCGUGGGGCUCAACCCCAUCCAGCCGUUGAAACUGGGGAUCUAGAGUGUGCGAGAGGUAUGCGGAAUGCGUGGUGUAGCGGUGAAAUGCAUAGAUAUCACGCAGAACCCCGAUUGCGAAGGCAGCAUACCGGUGCACAACUGACGCUCAGGCACGAAAGCGUGGGUAUCGAACAGGAUUAGAUACCCGAGUAGUC
rnacentral:rRNA from 1 species